rnacentral:rRNA from 1 species
AGAGUUUGAUCCUGGCUCAGGACGAACGCUGGCGGCGUGCUUAACACAUGCAAGUCGAACGAUGAAGCCCUUCGGGGUGGAUUAGUGGCGAACGGGUGAGUAACACGUGGGCAAUCUGCCCUUCACUCUGGGACAAGCCCUGGAAACGGGGUCUAAUACCGGAUAACACUCCUGCCUGCAUGGGCGGGGGUUAAAAGCUCCGGCGGUGAAGGAUGAGCCCGCGGCCUAUCAGCUUGUUGGUGAGGUAGUGGCUCACCAAGGCGACGACGGGUAGCCGGCCUGAGAGGGCGACCGGCCACACUGGGACUGAGACACGGCCCAGACUCCUACGGGAGGCAGCAGUGGGGAAUAUUGCACAAUGGGCGAAAGCCUGAUGCAGCGACGCCGCGUGAGGGAUGACGGCCUUCGGGUUGUAAACCUCUUUCAGCAGGGAAGAAGCGAAAGUGACGGUACCUGCAGAAGAAGCGCCGGCUAACUACGUGCCAGCAGCCGCGGUAAUACGUAGGGCGCAAGCGUUGUCCGGAAUUAUUGGGCGUAAAGAGCUCGUAGGCGGCUUGUCACGUCGGGUGUGAAAGCCCGGGGCUUAACCCCGGGUCUGCAUUCGAUACGGGCUAGCUAGAGUGUGGUAGGGGAGAUCGGAAUUCCUGGUGUAGCGGUGAAAUGCGCAGAUAUCAGGAGGAACACCGGUGGCGAAGGCGGAUCUCUGGGCCAUUACUGACGCUGAGGAGCGAAAGCGUGGGGAGCGAACAGGAUUAGAUACCCUGGUAGUCCACGCCGUAAACGGUGGGAACUAGGUGUUGGCGACAUUCCACGUCGUCGGUGCCGCAGCUAACGCAUUAAGUUCCCCGCCUGGGGAGUACGGCCGCAAGGCUAAAACUCAAAGGAAUUGACGG